rnacentral:tRNA from 1 species
GCCCAGCUGGCUCAGCUGGUAAAGCAUGAGACUCUUGAUCUCUGGGGUCAUGAGUUCGAGCCCUGUGUUUGGUG